AGUUAGAAUAUUUCGUCAAAUUCUUGUAUACGACACAUGGACAAUAUAUGAAACCGUCUCUCUUGUUUGUCUCGGACACACUUAAGAAAUAAUGCACACCAUUAGUGAACUCUUCAGAGGGCCCGAUCGGUAUUAUACAUCCAAUUGCGUGUUACCAUCUGUAUUGAAUAUAACAUAUAUAUUAUGAAAACCAUGCACAUAUAGUUUCUCAUCUUAUUGCACAAUAUGUCUAACACACAUAGUUGAUUAAUUCAAGCAAGCCUGGCUACAACAAAGACAAUCACAACUAGCACUAAAAAACUAAAACUAAAAUGCAAUUAAGCAACAUAAUUAGUUCACGUUCGAUCCCAACUAUAAGAGACAGAUCAUUCGCUUGAUCAACAUCGAUGGACUCCUUCUGCCGGCUCACUGCCUCAUCAUCUUCAGCCUCAACCGCCUGUGCAAAAGAUUUUUGAUGUGUUGAAUGUAUUCUUCCUCCCAGUACCAACCUAUACAUCCGCCGGUACCAUCCCACUGAAAUUAGAAGAGAGAAUCAAAAGUUUAAGUAACAUCAUUUAAAAAAUAGGCACAUAUAUAAGCAAAUGUCUGGAAAUAACCCACAUUACGAUCUGGACACUUGUAGAAUAUACGACCCUUGUUUGCUCCCUCUUUUUGAUACUUUGUACUCUAUCACGAUCUUCUGCCCACACUUACCGCAAGUAAUGUGAGGGAGUGGCCGGUAUCGCUUUUGAACCCGUUGGGGGACCGAGGACCCGGUCAUGGUUGCCAUCUACUAUCCAUACUCAAUUUUUAAAUAAUUACAAAUUCCACAUUUUCUAGUAAACAAAUAUGAUUAAAGAAGAACCUAAUAAUAUCCUUUAUUUGUCUAGCUACUUCAACAAAUUUUCUAAAUUAUACAAUGGAUAUUAUGUAGUAAUAAAAACCUAUCAAGUGAUAUUAACAAACCAAUUAAUUUGAACUAUCCAACUAUCUAAGAUCAUUAUUGUAAACUAUAUACAUUAACUAAAUUCCAAUCCUCUCAUAUUAUAAUAUAAAGAAAAAAAGAUUUAAAAAAAUACUAUAAUUCAUUCUUGCAAACCACAUUAAUACUAAGUCAACUAUGAAAAUGAUAUAUAUAGAUACUAAUUCAAGCGAAGGAUUCAAAAUAACAAGUAAAUUUGAUCUAAAAAUAAUGGAAAAAUCACAAGCCAAACACAACGUAAAAAAGACAAUGAAGGAUGAAGAUAGCCACCUCCAAGCACGAAGAGACGAUGACGGAGUCCAAGAAGAUCAACGAUGGGUGCCUAAGAUGAAGAACAAGCAAGAAGAACAAAUGCAAGCUCUAGCAACAACAAUGGUGCUCUCUGGUUUCAAAUGACCCAGGCAGAGGGGAGGAGACAUAGCCGCGGCCUAUAAAUCGGACCCUUUAGCACCGGUUUAAGGCACAAAUUCGGUCUAAAGGUGACCCUUUAGCACCGGUUUGUACCUUGAACCGGUGCUAAAGGGUUUGACCCGGCCUGUGGC
rnacentral:lncRNA from 1 species